rnacentral:rRNA from 1 species
UACGUAGGGUCCGAGCGUUGUCCGGAUUUAUUGGGCGUAAAGAGCUCGUAGGCGGUUCCGUAAGUCAGAUGUGAAAACUCAGGGCUCAACCCGGAGACGCCAUCUGAUACUGCGGUGACUGGAGUCUGGUAGGGGAACACGGAAUUCCUGGUGUAGCGGUGAAAUGCGCAGAUAUCAGGAGGAACACCGAUGGCGAAGGCGGCUUCCUGGACUGUCCCUGACGCUGAGGCUCGAAAGCGUGGGUAGCAAACAGG